CUCCCCAGAGCCCAGGCCUCCUGCCUCCAGUCCCCAGCCCACAGCCCAGGAUUAGGCAGAGCCAGCUGCUUUCCCGUGGCUGCCCUGACUCCUUACAGGGAUCACUGAGAUUCUGAUGAACAGACCUUCUGCCCGCAAUGCCUUGGGGAAUGUCUUCGUCAGUGAGGUAAGAAAGGGCGGGCGCCAGGGUGGGCUGGGGAUGGGCUGGCACUAUCUAACUGGGUGUCCUCUGUAGCUGCUGGAAACUCUGGCCCAGCUGCGGGAGGACCGGCAAGUGCGUGUCCUGCUCUUCAGAAGUGGAGUGAAGGGCGUGUUCUGUGCAGGUGCAGACCUGAAGGAGCGGGAACAGAUGAGUGAAGCAGAGGUGGGGGUGUUUGUCCAGCGACUCCGGGGCCUGAUGAAUGACAUCGGUGAGGAUCUGGGUGUGGGGUAGAGGAGG
rnacentral:sRNA from 1 species